rnacentral:rRNA from 1 species
UACAGAGGUCUCAACCGUUGUUCGGAUUCAUUGGGCGUAAAGGGUGCGUAGGCGGUCGUGCAAGUCGGAUGUGAAAUCUUAGGGCUCAACCCUGAAACUGCAUUCGAUACUGCGCGGCUAGAGUGCUGGAGGGGAGACUGGAAUUUACGGUGUAGCAGUGAAAUGCGUAGAUAUCGUAAGGAAGACCAGUGGCGAAGGCGAGUCUCUGGACAGCAACUGACGCUGAGGCACGAAGGCCAGGGGAGCAAACGGG